GGGCAAGUCCUAUACAGCGUUCUUCUACUCAACCAUGUCAGGUCCGGAAGGAAGCAGCAUCCAGUAGCUUGAAUGUGUGAUAUAGUUUAGCUUGUCCCCG
rnacentral:SRP_RNA from 1 species